rnacentral:snRNA from 1 species
CAAAUUAGAACAGUUGAAACAGAAUUGGAACAGAAGAUCGGCUCGGCAGUAGCGCAAGGAUGACACGCAAAUCCGUGAAGCGCUCCAUCUUUUU